UGCAUCACUUCACGCGUGUCAUCUGCGGCAACAGCGACAGAAUGUAUGACAUAUACCAAGCAGCACAGUCGUCAUCGCAUACUUUUUGCUUUCAACGGCAAGAAAACACUGAGGAAGUCGUUGAGAAGAUUUCUAUGGAGUUUGGACCACGGGCGUCACAAUUCAGAUGACUCUGCAGCAGCACGCGGCUUAUUCACCGAUCCUUUUGCCAACAGAUUUUCAUCUGUUUCGGUCACUGCAACAUUUCCUAGCGGACACGCGUUUCAUCGAUGUUGAAAGCAUUAAAAAAGAACGCAUCGACGACUUUACCGAUUCGAAAGCAUCCGAAAUAGAAGCUGAAUUUUCGAGCAGAAGGGCUGAGAAACUUAUUUGCUACGCCUAAUACAACAACAUCGGACAAAAAAGAAAGUUUCAUAAAAUGCUAGAAACGUAGAAUUCGACUUACACGUUCCGCUGGAAACGACACGUUCUGCAGCCCCCCGUCCGCAUCUUUCAUAGAAAUGUCCAGAGUCAGAGUUUUCGUGUUCGCCGCUAUUAAAAACUGGGGCUCGUUUUCCAUGUCGAUGAUUCUGAUAAUAUGCCAAGUAUACUUUGGCAGUUUCCUGGCUCGGAACGUGCAGACUACACUGAACUCCUCUGGCAAAUCGUUCGGAAGUAUGUCCCUGGGUGUGGGCCGAGACGGAAAAGAAAGAAUUAGAAGAGCGACGGAUCGAGAUUUGGAAUCGAGCGGCUUGCGAAAAAACAAAAAACAUCAACCAAAAGGCAUUGAAAAACGUGACGAAAAGUCGGAUCCGUACUUCGUUGGCAGAGUGACGUCGGUGUCUUUUCCCAAUCUGUAAGCUGUUUGCAAGAGGCUGCUACCUCUGACCCGUGUCAAAGCGACGUAAUGCGGCUCUAAGCGAUCCAAUCUUAGCUUGCUGAUGAAGUCGAACGUCUGGAGAUCCUCCUCUGUGCGAUUCUGGCCGUCGCACGGCACCCGUGGCGACUCCGACGCCAUUUCUUCCCCGGUUGCAAGUUCUGUGAGAGAAACGCUAAAAUCAAUUUAGUUUAAAAUAAUUUUAA